AUUGAACGCUGGCGGCAUGCCUUACACAUGCAAGUCGAACGGUAACAGGUCUUCGUAUGCUGACGAGUGGCGCACGGGUGUGUAAUACAUCGGAACGUGCCCGAUCGUGGGGGAUAACGAGGCGAAAGCUUUGCUAAUACCGCAUACGAUCUACGGUUGAAAGCGGGGGAUCUUCUGACCUCGCUCGGACGUUUCUGCCGAUGGCCGCUUCUGUAGUUGGUGUGUUAAAAGCUUACCAAGCCGACGAUCUGUAGCUGGUCUGAGAGGAUGAUCAGCCACACUGGGACUGAGACACGGCCCAGACUACUACGGGAGGCAGCAGUGGGGAAUUUUGGACAAUGGGCGAAAGCCUGAUACAGCCAUGCCGCGUGAAGGAUGAAGGCCUUCGGGUUGUAAAAUGCUUUUGUACGGAACGAAAAGACUCUUUCUAAUAAAGAGGGGUCAUGACGGUACCGUAAGAAUAAGCACCGGCUAACUACGUG
rnacentral:rRNA from 1 species